GCGAUACAGGGUGACAGCCCCGUACACAAAAGCGCAUGUGCUGUGAGCUCGAUGAGUAGGGCGGGACACGUGGUAUCCUGUCUGAAUAUGGGGGGACCAUCCUCCAAGGCUAAAUACUCCUGACUGACCGAUAGUGAACCAGUACCGUGAGGGAAAGGCGAAAAGAACCCCGGCGAGGGGAGUGAAAAAGAACCUGAAACCGUGUACGUACAAGCAGUGGGAGCCCCACCACCAAAGCAUUUGCUGUACCGCGUUGACGGAGCGAAGCGACGUCAAACCGAUAAAACAGCAGUGUAAAGUGAGCCGCAGGGCGCUUUGCGCGACAGCGCAAAGGCAGGCGGUUUCGCGUAGCGAAAGCGAAUGCUUUGGGGUGGGGUGACUGCGUACCUUUUGUAUAAUGGGUCAGCGACUUAUAUUCUGUAGCAAGGUUAACCGAAUAGGGGAGCCGGAGGGAAACCGAGUCUUAAUUGGGCGUUAAGUUGCAGGGUAUAGACCCGAAACCCGGUGAUCUAGCCAUGGGCAGGUUGAAGGUUGGGUAACACUAACUGGAGGACCGAACCGACUAAUGUUGAAAAAUUAGCGGAUGACCUGUGGCUGGGGGUGAAAGGCCAAUCAAACCGGGAGAUAGCUGGUUCUCCCCGAAAGCUAUUUAGGUAGCGCCUCGUGAAUUCAUCUCCGGGGGUAGAGCACUGUUUCGGCUAGGGGGCCAUCCCGGCUUACCAACCCGAUGCAAACUGCGAAUACCGGAGAAUGUUAUCACGGGAGACACACGGCGGGUGCUAACGUCCGUCGUGAAGAGGGAAACAACCCAGACCGCCAGCUAAGGUCCCAAAGUCAUGGUUAAGUGGGAAACGAUGUGGGAAGGCCCAGACAGCCAGGAUGUUGGCUUAGAAGCAGCCAUCAUUUAAAGAAAGCGUAAUAGCUCACUGGUCGAGUCGGCCUGCGCGGAAGAUGUAACGGGGCUAAACCAUGCACCGAAGCUGCGGCAGCGACRCUKAUGYGUUGUUGGGUAGGGGAGCGUUCUGUAAGCCUGYGAAGGUGUGYCUGUGAGGSWUGCUGGAGGUAUCAGAAGUGCGAAUGCUGACAUAAGUAACGAUAAAGCGGGUGAAAAGCCCGCUCGCCGGAAGACCAAGGGUUCCUGUCCAACGUUAAUCGGGGCAGGGUGAGUCGACCCCUAAGGCGAGGCCGAAAGGCGUAGUCGAUGGGAAACGGGUUAAUAUUCCCGUACUUGGUGUUACUGCGAAGGGGGGACGGAGAAGGCUAUGUUGGCCGGGCGACGGUUGUCCCGGUUUAAGCGUGUAGGUGUGUGUUCCAGGUAAAUCCGGUUCACUUUAACACUGAGGCGUGACGACGAGGCACUACGGUGCUGAAGCAACAAAUGCCCUGCUUCCAGGAAAAGCCUCUAAGCAUCAGGUAACAUCAAAUCGUACCCCAAACCGACACAGGUGGUCAGGUAGAGAAUACCAAGGCGCUUGAGAGAACUCGGGUGAAGGAACUAGGCAAAAUGGUGCCGUAACUUCGGGAGAAGGCACGCUGACACGUAGGUGAAGUGAUUUACUCAUGGAGCUGAAGUCAGUCGAAGAUACCAGCUGGCUGCAACUGUUUAUUAAAAACACAGCACUGUGCAAACACGAAAGUGGACGUAUACGGUGUGACGCCUGCCCGGUGCCGGAAGGUUAAUUGAUGGGGUCAGCGCAAGCGAAGCUCCUGAUCGAAGCCCCGGUAAACGGCGGCCGUAACUAUAACGGUCCUAAGGUAGCGAAAUUCCUUGUCGGGUAAGUUCCGACCUGCACGAAUGGCGUAAUGAUGGCCAGGCUGUCUCCACCCGAGACUCAGUGAAAUUGAACUCGCUGUGAAGAUGCAGUGUACCCGCGGCAAGACGGAAAGACCCCGUGAACCUUUACUAUAGCUUGACACUGAACAUUGAGCCUUGAUGUGUAGGAUAGGUGGGAGGCUUUGAAGUGUGGACGCCAGUCUGCAUGGAGCCGACCUUGAAAUACCACCCUUUAAUGUUUGAUGUUCUAACGUGGACCCGUUACCCGGGUUGCGGACAGUGUCUGGUGGGUAGUUUGACUGGGGCGGUCUCCUCCUAAAGAGUAACGGAGGAGCACGAAGGUUGGCUAAUCCUGGUCGGACAUCAGGAGGUUAGUGCAAUGGCAUAAGCCAGCUUGACUGCGAGCGUGACGGCGCGAGCAGGUGCGAAAGCAGGUCAUAGUGAUCCGGUGGUUCUGAAUGGAAGGGCCAUCGCUCAACGGAUAAAAGGUACUCCGGGGAUAACAGGCUGAUACCGCCCAAGAGUUCAUAUCGACGGCGGUGUUUGGCACCUCGAUGUCGGCUCAUCACAUCCUGGGGCUGAAGUAGGUCCCAAGGGUAUGGCUGUUCGCCAUUUAAAGUGGUACGCGAGCUGGGUUUAGAACGUCGUGAGACAGUUCGGUCCCUAUCUGCCGUGGGCGCUGGAGAACUGAGGGGGGCUGCUCCUAGUACGAGAGGACCGGAGUGGACGCAUCACUGGUGUUCGGGUUGUCAUGCCAAUGGCACUGCCCGGUAGCUAAAUGCGGAAGAGAUAAGUGCUGAAAGCAUCUAAGCACGAAACUUGCCCCGAGAUGAGUUCUCCCUGAGACUUAAAGUCUCCUGAAGGAACGUUGAAGACGACGACGUUGAUAGGCCGGGUGUGUAAGCGCAGCGAUGCGUUGAGCUAACCGGUACUAAUGAACCGUGAGGCUUAACCUUACAACGCCGAAG
rnacentral:rRNA from 1 species